GAGGAAUAUUGGUCAAUGGACGAGAGUCUGAACCAGCUAAGUAGCGUGAAGGAUGAAGGUUCUAUGGAUUGUAAACUUCUUUUAUACGGGAAUAAACGAAUCCACGCGUGGAUUUUUGCAUGUACCGUAUGAAUAAGGAUCGGCUAACUCCGUGCCAGCAGCCGCGGUAAUACGGAGGAUCCGAGCGUUAUCCGGAUUUAUUGGGUUUAAAGGGAGCGUAGAUGGGUUGUUAAGUCAGUUGUGAAAGUUUGCGGCUCAACCGUAAAAUUGCAAUUGAUACUGGCAGUCUUGAGUACAGUUGAGGUAGGCGGAAUUCGUGGUGUAGCGGUGAAAUGCUUAGAUAUCACGAAGAACUCCGAUUGCGAAGGCAGCUUACUAACCUGUAACUGACAUUGAUGCUCGAAAGUGUGGGUAUCAAACAGGAUUAGAUACCCUGGUAGUCCACACGGUAAACGAUGAAUACUCGCUGUAGGCGAUAUACAGUCUGCGGCCAAGCGAAAGCAUUAAGUAUUCCACCUGGGGAGUACGCCGGCAACGGUGAAACUCAAAGGAAUUGACGGGGGCCCGCACAAGCGGAGGAACAUGUGGUUUAAUUCGAUGAUACGCGAGGAACCUUACCCGGGCUUAAAUUGCAACCGAAUAUGGCGGAAACGCUAUAGCUAGCAAUAGCGGUUGUGAAGGUGCUGCAUGGUUGUCGUCAGCUCGUGCCGUGAGGUGUCGGCUUAAGUGCCAUAACGAGCGCAACCCUUGCCGAUAGUUACUAACAGGUUAUGCUGAGGACUCUGUCGGGACUGCCAUCGUAAGAUGUGAGGAAGGUGGGGAUGACGUCAAAUCAGCACGGCCCUUACGUCCGGGGCUACACACGUGUUACAAUGGGGGGUACAGAGGGCUGCUACCACGCAAGUGGAUGCCAAUCCCAAAAACCUCUCUCAGUUCGGAUUGAAGUCUGCAACCCGACUUCAUGAAGCUGGAUUCGCUAGUAAUCGCGCAUCAGCCACGGCGCGGUGAAUACGUUCCCG
rnacentral:rRNA from 1 species